ACUCAAAUGAAUUGACGGGGGCCCGCACAAGCAGCGGAGCGUGUGGUUUAAUUCGUCGCAACGCGAAGAACCUUACCAGGGCUUGACAUGCACCGGAAAACGGCGGAAACGUCGUCCUCCCGCAAGGGAUCGGUGUGCAGGUGUUGCAUGGCUGUCGUCAGCUCGUGUCGUGAGAUGUUGGGUUAAGUCCCGCAACGAGCGCAACCCCCGUGGCAUGUUGUAUCACUCAUGCCAGACUGCCGAGAGAAACUCGGAGGAAGGUGGGGAUGACGUCAAGUCAGCAUGGCCCUUACGUCCUGGGCUACACACACGCUACAAUGGCCGGUACAACGGGUUGCCAAACCGCGAGGUGGAGCUAAUCCCUUAAAGCCGGUCUCAGUUCGGAUUGCAGGCGAGUUGCUAGUAACCGCAGGUCAGCACACUGCGGUGAAUAUGUUCCCGGGCCUUGCACACACCGCCCGU
rnacentral:rRNA from 1 species